GGGGAUGACGGAUUUUGACAGGACUUUAACAUUUUCUCAUAUGCAAGACGAGCAAGCCAAAAUCGACUCGUUAAUCCGCGUUUGGCAUCCAUAAAUGCUAUGGAAUCUUCUUGGAACAAAGUCGUAGCCGCCUUUAAACAGGCUGACUUGGCUUUUGCUCCUGCAAUGGCUUAAUUUUAAGUUAUUGCCUUGCCCCGCGCCCCGCCCCGGGAGCGGACCGGCAAGCUCAUUUGGGGCUGCUAUCCCUUGGCUUGGUUUGCGCUAAGGGAUAUAAGCUUACGUAAACCAGCCUCUGCAACCGUUUGCCGAUUUAUAUUGCAGAGGAUCUAAAAUCGGCUAAUCUUGUGAACAAUGGGAAAGUUGAGAAGUUUUGGACCCGGGUUUAACUCCCGGCAUCUCCACCA
rnacentral:tmRNA from 1 species